GGGGGGGGGGGGGGGGGGGGGGGGGGGGGGGGGGGCGGGGGGGGGGGGCGUGGUGGGGGGGGGUGGUCGAGGGGGGAAGGGGUGAGUAACCCGUGAGUAACCUGCCGGUGGCUUUGGGAGAACUUCAGGAAACUGGGGCUAAUACCGGAUAGGCGCUCCUGCUGCAUGGUGGGGGUUGGAAAGUUUCGGCGGUGGGGGAUGGACUCGCGGCUUAUCAGCUUGUUGGUGGGGUAGUGGCUUACCAAGGCUUUGACGGGUAGCCGGCCUGAGAGGGUGACCGGCCACAUUGGGACUGAGAUACGGCCCAGACUCCUACGGGAGGCAGCAGUGGGGAAUAUUGCACAAUGGGCGGAAGCCUGAUGCAGCAACGCCGCGUGCGGGAUGACGGCCUUCGGGUUGUAAACCGCUUUCGCCUGUGACGAAGCGUGAGUGACGGUAAUGGGUAAAGAAGCACCGGCUAACUACGUG
rnacentral:rRNA from 1 species